AAAACGGAGGAAAAGAAAAUAAGCCAAUGAGCUGAGUACUAGCGGCGAGUGAACAGGGAAAAGCUCACAGUUGGAACCUAGCUGCCUUAGGUAGUUCGGAUUGUAAACUGAAAAAGUGUUAUCCAGGCUAGCCGAGUAAAAAAGUUUCUUGGAAUAGAACAUCAUGGAGGGUGAGAAUCCCGUCUUUGGCUUGAGCAUAGUCUUUUGUGUUGCACUUUAACGAGUCAGGUUGUUUGGGAAUGCAGCCUAAAGUGGGAGGUAAAUCCCUCCUAAAGCUAAAUAUUGGCGAGAGACCGAUAGCAAACAAGUACCGUGAGGGAAAGAUGAAAAGAACUUUGAAAAGAGAGUUAAACAGUAUGUGAAAUUGCUAAAAGGGAAGCGUUUGAAGACAGACUAGCUUGGUUAUAAUCAGCCUGGAUUUUUCUUGGUGUACUUGUAGCCUAUGCUUGCCAACAGCAGUUUGGUCUGGCUGAAAAAACUAGUAGUAAGGUGGCUCUCUUCGGGGAGUGUUAUAGACUAUUAGAAAAUCAGUUGGACUGGACUGAGGAAUGCAAUGCAGCUUGCCUUGGGGUGAACCAGAUUGAAUAGGAACCAUUGUUCCUUGAAGGUUUGGGUAGCUCUUCGAACUGUAUAUAGCAGUCACUAGUUGGACUUAAUGUCUUUAAACGGCCCGUCUA
rnacentral:rRNA from 1 species